rnacentral:rRNA from 1 species
UACGUAGGGUGCGAGCGUUGUCCGGAAUUAUUGGGCGUAAAGAGCUCGUAGGCGGUUUGUUGCGUCGGCCGUGAAAACCUGCAGCUUAACUGUGGGCCUGCGGCCGAUACGGGCAGACUAGAGUACUGCAGGGGAGACUGGAAUUCCUGGUGUAGCGGUGGAAUGCGCAGAUAUCAGGAGGAACACCGGCGGCGAAGGCGGGUCUCUGGGCAGUAACUGACGCUGAGAAGCGAAAGCGUGGGGAGCGAACAGG